rnacentral:rRNA from 1 species
GACGAACGCUGGAGGCGUGCUUAACACAUGCAAGUCGAACGAUGAAAUGGAGCUUGCUCCAUGGAUUAGUGGCGAACGGGUGAGUAACACGUGAAUAACCCGCCCUUAAUUUUGGAAUAACCCAGGGAAACCCGGGCUAAUACCGGAUAAGUAAACCUGUGGCAUCACAUGGUGUUGGAAAGUUUUUCGAUUAAGGAUGGAUUCGCGGCCUAUCAGCUUGUUGGUGAGGUAAUGGCUCACCAAGGCGACGACGGGUAGCCGGCCUGAGAGGGUGAACGGCCACACUGGGACUGAGACACGGCCCAGACUCCUACGGGAGGCAGCAGUGGGGAAUAUUGCGCAAUGGACGAAAGUCUGACGCAGCGACGCCUCGUGAGGGACGAAGGUCUUCGGAUUAUAAACCUCUUUCAGCAGGGACGAAGCGAAAGUGACGGUACCUGCAGAAGAAGCACCGGCUAACUAUGUGCCAGCAGCCGCCGUAA